rnacentral:tRNA from 1 species
GGAGAGAUGGCUCAGUGGUUAAGAGCACUGGCUGUUCUUCUAGAGGACCUGGGUUCAACUCCCAGAAUCCUCA